GACGUAGGGCGCGAGCGUUGUCCGGAUUUAUUGGGCGUAAAGAGCUCGUAGGCGGCUCGUUGCGUCAACCGUGAAAACCCGGGGCUUAACUUCGGGCUUGCGGUUGAUACGGGCGGGCUGGAGUUCGGUAGGGGAGACUGGAAUUCCUGGUGUAGCGGUGAAAUGCGCAGAUAUCAGGAGGAACACCGGUGGCGAAGGCGGGUCUCUGGGCCGAUACUGACGCUGAGGAGCGAAGGCGUGGGGAGCGAACAGG
rnacentral:rRNA from 1 species